CUGUUAAGGGUUGUCCUGUGAAUACCGACCCCUGUUGAGUCGGCUGCCCCCGCGACCCGGUCCCGGAUAAGCGGAAGACGACGAACGAACGAACAUAAAAUUAACCUAUUCCUCCUCCUUCACCUGACCUCCACUUUUAAGGGAUUAGCUGUCAGACUCCAUCUGUCGAGACUCAGGACUGAAGACUCUGGAAGUUACCGCUGCGAUCUGGUUGCUGGGUAUAACCAGAUGUUGAGGAGAUGGGAGCUGAAGGCUUCAGUAAACUUUGUCCUCAACGUGACCAAAACGUCUCAUGGAGACAGUUCUGUGUCUCUGACCACACCAAAGCCGGAACACAUACAGACUUUAGGUGGCCCAGCUGUUACCAUGUCAACAACAGACGCCAUACUGGUUACAACAUUUCUCUAGGUAGUUUGUGCAGUCCUGGUUUUCCUUGGAUCACUUGAAGGAAAAUGCAAAGGUUUGUGUCAUUUAUUGUCUGUAAUGGAUCUAUUUUUUGUUGUUGUUCAGUGUUCGCUUCAGUGUCUUGUGAAUCCUACAGAUCUGACCAAGGAUUCAGAUGAAUUAGUGGACAUACGUAUAAAUAAGGGCUGCACGGUGGCGCAGUUGGUAGCACUGUUGCCUUGCAGCAAGAAGGUCCUGGGUUCGAUUCCCGACCAGGGGUCUUUCUGCAUGGAGUUUGCGAGUUCUCCCUGUGCAUGUGU